GCAAACUAAACAUCAGAUGACAAAAUUUGCAUCUUCUUAUAUAAAGCUACAUAAACAGAAUUAGUUAUUCAAACCUCAUCCUUAGGAAGGGAAAUAGCAAAUAUGAAGCAACAGAAAAAUGACAUUACAAUUAAAACUACGGUUAUACAGAUAGUGCAUGGCUUGACUACAUUUAUUACUGUUUAAUUUCAUGCAAAAGGAUUAUUAUGCAAUCAUUUCAUGUUAUAAAUUGAAUCUAUUCCUAACUGCCCUUUCAUCCCCCCCCAUAUCCCAAUUAUAAGCUUUACUCUGAUAUCUAAAUAAUUGCCUGGAGGUCUUGAAAAUGCACUGUGCAACCUUUCAUCUAUAUCCUUUUAGAGAACUAGAAGCCUAAAAUGUUCACAUGAGAUUUCCUCCUCCUGCUCGUAAUGCAAAUUCCAUUUGCUUGCCUUUAGACGGAGUCUUUCUUACUAGGUUUAAAGACUCUAGUUAAGACGUUUCCUUGUGUUUCUUCUCCUUAUUCAGACGGUUGUUUCUGUAUUUUGUGAGCCAGGAGGUGGUCCCGGGUCUGCACAGCGCUCGAGUGCAGAAAACACUGGCAUACAUCCACGUGACAGUACACACCCGGUCUCUCACACAAUAAUGAAGCCUGCUGCCAGACUUUCCCCAACAGGAGGAUUUUAUUACAUCGACAAACGCAAUUUAUUAAAACGCUCCUUCCUGAAGUGCAGAGGCAACAUACAGACUGAACUGAACGCUACCAACUACAGAAAGACCAAAGAAACUCUUUGUGACUCCCAAACGGCAGAAGAGAAAGUUAAAUGUAUCAUAAGAAUUAACUGGGACUACCCGAUUUUAGACAUCAAAGAUGUCUAUAUAUAUACACACAAAUACACUGAAUAUCAUAUAGGCAUUAUUUAUUUAGAAUUUUGCCCCCUAAAGCCUGUAGCUGUCACCCUGCAUUAGGAUGCCAGCGCAGCAGAACCAGGACACUACUUUCUACGCUGCCAACUGUUGAGAUUUCACGGAGGCAGCAGGACAAGCAGGACUGUGGAAGUUAUGCAAGAUUGCAGUGCCUUCGCUUCACAGGCGCAGCACAUAGACACGCGGUCCCCUGCAUGCUGGGCAGCACUUGAGGUCUAUUCAAUGUACUGUGCAACUGAUGUUUCAAUGCAGCUGCCCGGGAAAGGAGUAUCUUUAACAUAACAUACAGAACUGCAGUAGAGGUAACGAUGUCAUUGCUUCUGACAGAUAGCUCUUGCAUAAUUUACAUGAACAAAUGGGUUUUUAUGCCAUUAUGUUUUAUUCAAGAUUUAAAAAACCUCCCUACAUUUUCUGGAAAAAAACACACCCCUAAAAAAACAGAACCAAAAAAACCUUACCCUAAACCUAACAAAUCUCUACACCAGACUACCUGCCCAAAACUGCUCUCAGAGCACUUCUGUCUCUGUGACCAGGAAACUUUCGUAUACAUAAAAAAGCUUUUGUAUACAUAAAAAAAGCAAACACACGAAAAAGAAAUAGUUUGAAAUCUCUUCAAACAACAGAUGAAAACUAAAGGUGGUGGCACUGCAGAAGAGAUUACUGAAUGUGGGAGACAUGUCGAUGUUAAAACCCUCCUACUCCGCAUUAGCAAACGAGCAAUUCUGAAUCCCUGUGCAAAACCCCUUUCAUUUUUCCAUCCAGAAUAUUGACGCAGCCACCAAUUACAAGAGAUAUUCAGGGGCCAGAUGCCAAAACCAACUCGCAAACACAAUUAGCGAGCGGGAACUCCACGCUCGCUUUCACGGUGAAGGGCACGGCGGCAGCCCAGGAGGGCUGCUCCAUCCAGCUGGCACGCCCGGUUACCAGCAAAACCGUUCUACUUGACUCGUUUCUAAUACUUAUAGGAAAAUAACGGAGUGAAGUCACUAUGGUGAGUCUUGGUAGCGUUGAAUCUGGCGGGCGCACUCCAUGCUGCUGCUUCGGUCCGAGGGGAGGCUUAUGACUCAUUUUCUUCCCCUCCUCUUCGGGAGGAAUUUCGCUGCGGCCGAGAUGGAAAAGCCGAGCAGCACCGCUGGCUUCAGGCACGGCCGCGUGUGGCUGGCCGCACUGCCAGCCAGCUGCUUGUGCCGCUGGGUUUUGGUGCAUUUCGGUGGGUUUCCUGGGCAGGCAGAGGGCAGAGGAGGGGCAGGGCUGCUGGCGCAGCGUUCAGGCGCAGCAGAGCCAAGCGAGAAGCGAAAAGGUUGUUGUUAAGGCUAGAUUCGUCUCUCUCUUUCUCUCUCCCAUCUUGAGGCUGAUCCAUCCAAAAAUGUAAACUAGUGUUUUCUUGAUAAUCAGAGACGCUUCUGCUUCUGACUAUUCCAAUCACAAGGAAAUUGAAGGAGAUGGCAACGAAAACAAGAGGACACCAUUCACUGCAAGUUUUUACUGCUCAGAAAACCUCCUAGAUUGCAGCUGAAGAGCAAGAUCAGAUACUUGCUUUUUUGAACAGGCCAGGCAGAAGUCAGAACAAGCAUGGGCUGCCGGUAGUGAAAGCAGCAAGGCUAUCCUGUGAAACAGAUCAAGAAACCCACAUGCGGGAAGGAAGCAGAAAUUCCCUCAUCGUACUCUUCCAAAAGCAACUGCGGAGAGAAAUGCCUAUCUUGCUGCAAGUGACAGGAAGGCAAACAAGCUCCCUGCCACACGGGACGGAGGACUCCACGUCAGGAAAUGCAACCUGUUAACAUCUGUCUGAACGUCCCAUGGCUGCAUCUGCUGGAAGAGGCCACCACGUCCCUGGCUGUUUUGUCCCCCACCCUUCUCCAGCCACGACUUAAAUAAACACCGCUAGGAAAGGUUUCCUUUACGGAACACACGCUCUAAUUCGGUGCUCAGAUACACACGUAUCCUGUUUGCCACACAGCCAGACCUUCAAAAAAGAAAAAAAAUAGAAAAACAUAGGCAGAAGAGCUGCCAUACACGGUGAUGGACAAAAAUCCCGGUGCUUGAAAUCCGCAGCUGGGGCCAGGCUUUUCGCGGUGACUCAGUGCCCUGUGUGCUGAGCUACGUUGAAAACUCUCCUCGAGCUUGGGAGCAGCGACAAACAUCUGUAACGUGACGCACGAGGACAGCUGGGCAGGUGGAGACCCAGAGCCCUGCGGACAGCCAAGUAGCGAACAAGUUGUUCGUACGUCCUAAAACGCUGCUUCUUCCGAAUACAUUAUUUAUGUUUUCGGCUGUUAGGCUUUCCCCUGUUUACACUGAAGGCUCUCAAGCAUAAGGCUGUGAUGAGGCUUACACAAGCCUUAAAACAGCGUCUACCUCACUGAAAGCUUUAAGCUUCCACCUUCCAUGCAGAUGCCUGGCAAUCCUGCAGUAACCAACAGCAGGUUGGGGCCAGCUCAUCGCAUCCCCUGCUUCAGAGCACGCAGGUAGAGGUUAAAAACCUCUAGCUGUUACAGUGCUGCAUAACCACAGAGGAUUCUCCUUUUUUUUUUUUUUUUUUUACUUAAAAGAAACUGAAAUUAAAAUCCACAGUAAGAAUGGACAAGCCAUAAGAGUGUUUGCAUACUCCAGGCCAUUUCGGAAAAAACACUUUUACGCUUGCAUGCCUAACCACCAUAAACCUGAGCUCAUAGGAUUAGUUAGGUGCUGAAAAUCACGCAUAUGCUUAAGUAGUUUCCUGAAUCAGAAGGGCACAGGCUCAGCUUGUGCAAAGGCAACCAUUACACCCUAUGGAGGGUUCAUAUUUUAAGGCGUUACAUGCAGCACACGGCAUCCAGCUACGGAUAACUGCAGGUGUUACAAGGUGUUAUCCAGCUGUGCUUAAGGACGGCUUUGCAAGAGGCACAUUUACUCGGCUUGUCAGAGGGGAGGAACUACCAGUUGUUGACAGCAGGAGCUGUCUUAUGCCAAACCAGUAAGAAUGGCAAGACUGGAAGGACUACAGCAGGGACUAUCUCCAGUGUAAACGCUGAUCACUUCCGAGCCCACCUGGCUUUCCUGUUUUGUGUGAUUAGGCAAGGUACGAGGAGAAGUUUUUGAAGACAAUAGCGAGCCUGUGUGACAGCUCAGAGAGGAGCCCUCUAGAAGCUGGUGCCUGAUAGCACCAGGAUGGACAGAUACUCGGAGCAGAACAAAAGCUCUCACAACAAAACCUGCUGAAGCGGAAGAUACAACAGAAAGGCGAGGAUGCGGCUAAAAGAGACUGCCCGAGCUUCUGUUGGAAAGGCUUUUGAGGUGAAAGCUGCUGCAAAACAAGGAUCCCUGAAGGAAGAAACCUGCGAGCCUCAGUAGCCACAUCCCUGCAGAAGGAAAAUUCAUCCUUUAAUAUAAUUCUGAAAUGGCAGCUGAUUUGCAGCCAGGCCUUGUACACACCUUGAAUAUUCACUGCCUACAGCCUCAGCCAUAAUUGUCAGCAGGCAAUUAUGCUCAAGGUUGUCUUUACUGUAAGGAGUCUAGAGGACAGAAAAAUAACACAAGGGCACAGCACGAUUUUACCAACACCAUUUUACCAAUUCUUACUCUCCCUUUUGACUUAUGCUGUACUCCUGCAGCAAAUUCAAUGGCCAUGACCAGCUCCCUCAAAUCAGAACAGUAACUGAGCUGCUCUUGGUAGCAAUCAAUAUAAAGGCUCUGUCUAGUCGGAAACUCAAACAAUUAAGGAUUAAUCACAAUGAAGUUCUGCCACAGAAUAAAAGGAAAAUAAUCCUCUAGAUGGAAGAUCAGGGGAAAUUCACAGCCUUCAAAAUACUGAACAUCGAAUCCCUUGUGCUCUGUUCCCAUGUUACUAGAUAGACCUGACAUGUUAAAUGUAUUUUAUAAUCCAGGGAUUUCAUUCACCUCUGAACGUGAUUUUAGCUUCACAACAUACAUCAUAUUUGAAGACCUGAAAUGAUUUGUGAAGCAUGAUACAGAGUCUAGACAAGACUGAAGCAAUCCAUGUACAUUUCAAUUGCUUGAACCUUGCAGUAUUACCAUUUGACACAGUAAACAGAGCAUAUUUUGCAUUGUUCUCAUUGCAGUUCCCUGUUUAAAUGCAAGUGAGGUUAGAGUACAAAGAUGUACUCUGAUUGGAUUAGUGCAUUAUUAUUAUUUUUAAAGUUUUGUUCUUUUAAGUUAGAGGCUGUCUGCAAACGCUGGGAUCUUCUGACCUACAUAAAUGUUACGAUGGGUCUCAAGAACUGGUUUAGACCCAUAUCUGAAAAACUCUUAUAAAAAGACCGGUGGUAAUUGUGUUUUGUGGUACAUAUGGCCUUAGAAAACGUAAAAAGAAACCCCAAACCCAUAUUAUCUGGGAGGCAGAAAACCAUUGGUUCUUUUCCAGACAUUCAGUUCCCCCAAAUCUGAAAAACACAACCAAAAGUAUUCAAACAAUAUACACGAUUUGAGCCAAAACCUCUGAGAUGGCCCAAUAACUGGCAGUCCAUUACACUGCCUGCUUGCUUUUUGCAAAAUAAUUUUAAGUUUAUUCACGAAACAGUUAUGAAAUUAGGAUAGUCAAACAAAAAGCACAGUUUGAGUUUCAAGAAAAUAACUUUAGUGCUUAGAAUAUUUUAGGGCACCUGAGGAGGACAAGCUACAUUCACAGACUCACUUGAAAUAUUUUUAUUAUUAUUUUUGAUCUGCAAGUCAUAUUUUCAUAGCAUAAACAAUGUUUUUUUCUCUGACUACCUUCAUCCCUUCACUCCUCCUGCUGCCACUGAAGCUGUAUGGCAGUGUAGUACGUAAUGUCGUGUCCCCACAUAAAUACUAAAACUUCCCCCCCCGCCUCAGGAUUUGCCUUGGCAUCCAGAACUACAAUACAAUAUUAACAAUUAAUUACAAGAUAUCUUAACUUUGGCUGGAAAUAUUUGCAUAUCCUGGUAGGCUCCCUGUCAAUUUUGAUGUGUAAAUGAGCCCUAACCAGAACAAACAUUUUCUUGCCAAAGGACAGGCAGAGAGCAGCAGCUCACACCGCAUGGAAGUGGCCCGCCCUCCCACGAAGGUGGGCUCCCCCUGGUUACAAACACAGCCCAGCGCUGCACCUGAGCAGGCACUUGUUAUCGUGGGGAUGGGAGGAUGCACGAAUUCCAGUACGAAAUCAUGCUACUACAAAUUAAGACGACAUUUUAUUAAUGGCGAACCACGAAAACCUUUGAAGUGGGCUGAAUGGGAGGAACAUAAGCGUGGCAAGGCGGCGAUGUUAAAAAAAAUACGACUGCUUUUUCUUACAGUUAUUACCCUCCCCCGCAAGGCUUUCAACUCGGAGAUCUUAAGCUUGAAUAGCUCCUCUGAUGCCCCGAAGGCAGACAUUCAACCUGUACAGUUUUCACAAUAGGCACUGGUAGCUAGUCUGUGUUUCACAAUAGAUGCUGGGAUUGUGGGGAAGGAAAACUGAUUCAGAGAAAAAUUGUUCUCAGACCUGCGUUAUAUAAUAAGCCCAAGCCAAUUAGAAACACCUACCUUAUAGUAUACAGAAGAUAUAUGAUCAUUUUGUUACUAGAAAACCUCGGAAAAGCUGAUGAGGAAACAAACAUUAAUCCCUGAAACAAAGUCUCAAUUCACCAAGACAAACGUGGGAGUUUUAAUUCUCCUUGUAUUUUUAUCUCCUACAGAAAAUAACAGAUUACUAAGCAUACACUGCUGAUCACAACAUAGCUAAAGGAUUUCUAAGAGAUGUAACACGACAUAAAGGUAACAGCAGUGCUGAAGAUGCUCACUAUGAUGGAGAGAGGAUUUGCAGAUGCCUCUGAAGGCAUAACAGAUGAACCUUCCACCUUUCUGCUCCCACUGGAUGGCGGGUGGGUAGUGAUAGUUUCAGAUGGUAGAUCUCAAGUGCUUGAGCAAAUGCAGAUUUACUGGAAAACACAGACAGCAGCUGAGGAGAGCUUGUCCUUAAACCCACUGCCCACAGCACCUGAGCUGUGGGGCACAAUGAUGGGGACAGCCCAAGCGGUCACACCAGGGAAACAUUCCCCUGACAAGGAAGGGACAAAAAUCAUCACACCGCAUGAUUAAGGAAAAACAAUACCCUUGGAAAUAUCUCACAGGCACCCAGCUUGCCAGGCACCUGAGGCAUGAAUUUGGAGAAGCCCGGUAGCAGCAGCCCCGCUGCAGCACCCGCUGCCGCCUCGUGACGUUUCCGCCUUCUAAGUCCUGAAAACAGCGUGGGCAGGCUUGGGAGCUUCAGCAGGGACGGGAUCCAACUAGCUAGUGAGAUGAAGUCACCAAAUUAAUUUAGCGUUGACCUAUCCAGAGCUUUGCUGCACCCCCCCCCCCCAUGCAGAUACACUGGGAGGUGAAGGGCUGUCAACGCACUCCGAGCGCAGCGUCACGACAAAGGGGGUUUUGUAACGCCCUGCAGCCCUCCUCGCGGGGGCACAGCAGCCCCCAGGGCCCCACGCGUGGCCGUGAUGCAGCAGCACAGGGCUGGGAAGAGGGGAGAUGGGAUUAAACGGGGGGAACGCAGUGGCUCGAUGCUAGCAGGCAGCUGCAGCUUGCUAGCAGGACGCUUAACGCAGCCCGCUUGCGAGGCGCGGGGAGCACCGGCUGUUGUCUCAUGGGAUGGGUGCUGCGGUGGCUCAGGAGACGGACUACGACACGUCUUUUCUGCUCUCCCCCUCUGCAACACCACGCAGACGACGAGGACCUUGCCACACGUUGGCUUUUCUCUCCUGCACAAAAACCAAAUGCAGACGCGCACCGUUUUUACGCCCCAUUUCUUCUAACCCUGACACACGCACGUUGCACACGGGAACGGUGCCCUUUGCACGGCGCCUUCCGAGCAAUGCUGUGCGCCUUCACGGUGCCUGCACCUGGGGAAGGAGCAGUGACACGGCUGCUGCCUGCGCGAGCAUCCCGGGGCACACGGGGAAGGGUGCCAGGGCAGAGCCCCCGGGACAGAGCCAGGCAGGCGGCCAGCGCCAGCUCCUGCCUGAGAGACCGUGGCAGAAAGGUGACGACACGGAGCUGGGCUACGGGACAACGUUUAUUUUAAGCUACCUUCGCCCCGCAGUUGUAAACAAGCAUGUGACAACAGAUGAAGCAACACGCAGCCAUGCUGGCUGCUUUCGCCCAUGCAUCACUCCCUAAAACGCGUCCCUGUAUUUUUGUAACAUAAAACAUUAAGCUCCAGCAUGGUUGAGUAGGGUUGCCACUGCUAUCGCAGCUCGGCUGCCAUUUGGGGCUUAAGGGACAAGCAGCAGGCUUUCUGCUGGCUGUGCAGGGCACCCCAUGGGCAGGCUUGCACGUUAAGACUGCCUUUUACUGAGCUCCGCGUCCAGCCUCUCUCUCUCCUCCCUCAGCCACAGAAGAAAGCAAGACUAGAAAUAACAAAAAAAUCUGAGCUUUGACAUCUGAGUUUGUCAAAUUAGGCCCAAAUAAAGACCCGUCUUCGGCUCACACAAACUCCCCACAGAGCAUUAUUAAUAUUAGAAAGAUUUCCAGCGUUAGCAUUUCAGCCACGGCACUUAAUUUUUGUUUUGGACACCAACUUAACUUGACCUCUUCCCUCAUUUUCAUGACUUAAUACUGUAACAGCCAAGGAGAUGUUCUGAAAUUACUCUGGUAUGCAAAAUAUUAAUAGCAAAUGACUUGUACUUGAGAAUUAAUCCUACUAAGGACUACCUAAGAUAGGACUGAACUUCUAACUGCUAUUGCUUAACUGCUAAAUUAAUUUUAGAGCAACUAGAACUAGAAUUUGCUAAUCCUUCAUGGAGUAAAUUGCCCUUUAUGAACACGUUAGCUCAACCAUCUGUGAUUUAUGUAAUUUUAAUGUAUUAUUCUUGCUGUGUGCCAGUAACCACAAACUUACUUCACCUUUGUUGCACUACCAAUGCAAGCGUUGAAGUUUCCAGCACAAAGUAAAGCUUCCCCCAAACACAUUUU